GAGCAGUCUCAGAGGCGGUCUAAGGUAACGUUAACUGUUAAAAUCUUGAGAUAAAUGUUAUAACGUUACCUUUUUAAAUUAUUUGACAUUUAACACGAUAAACUAUACAGUAUUCACUUUCUAAUUCUUUAAACUUUAACCGUAGUAACGUUAAUUACUUUGUUUGAAUGUCUGGCGCUCCCGCUUGAUGAUGCUCACGCUAGUCAUAUUGUGAACUUGAAUAUAAACCGCUGUAUAAAGUUUAACGUUAAUUAGACCGAGGCUGAGGAAAUCAUGUUCAGUGUAUGUGGGAUUAAUAAUUUCACCUUUCUCCCUCAAGUGACCUGUAAAUCCUGUCAUCUGCUCAUUAUUGGUGUUAAUGGUGUUUUUCACAUGCAUGCUUUUUGCUAGUUUCAUUCUCAAAUAGAUCUGAUACUUUAGUUUCAACAAAUCUUUAAUAAACAAAUGGUUCACUUUUUUUAGGUCCUGACUGCCACCAGUUGAGUCAAUGAUUCAGUGGAGAGACAGUCUGGGCAGCAGUAACAAGACAACUAUUACAAAUAGAGACGGGUUUCAAAAACUGGUACUAAUUUAGUUCCUGACUUGUUCAGUACUGAAAAGAAUGAUAUAAGCUGCAUGAUCAAUAGUGCUGCUAUCAGUAUU